UACGUAGGGUGCAAGCGUUGUCCGGAAUUAUUGGGCGUAAAGAGCUCGUAGGCGGUCUGUCACGUCGGCUGUGAAAACCCGAGGCUCAACCUCGGGCCUGCAGUCGAUACGGGCAAACUAGAGUACUGCAGGGGAGACUGGAAUUCCUGGUGUAGCGGUGAAAUGCGCAGAUAUCAGGAGGAACACCGGUGGCGAAGGCGGGUCUCUGGGCCGAAAUUGACGCUGAGGAGCGAAAGCGUGGGGAGCAAACAGG
rnacentral:rRNA from 1 species